CAGAAUUUAAUCCAGAGUCUAAAGGAAGAUUUAAGUAAAGUAAGAACUGAAAAGGAAAGCAUUCAGAAAGAUUUAGAUGCCAAAAUAAUUGAUAUACAGGAAAAAGUGAAAACAAUCACUCAAGUCAAGAAGAUCGGACGCAGGUACAAGACUCAGUUUGAAGAACUUAAAGCACAGCAGAAGGCCAUGGAGACUUCCACUCAGUCUUCAGGAGACCAUCAGGAACAGCACAUCUCUGUCCAGGAAAUGCAAGAGCUCAAAGAUAACCUCAGCCAAUCUGAAACAAAGACAAAGUCACUUGAGGGUCAAGUAGAGAAUCUGCAGAAGACCUUAUCUGAAAAAGAGACAGAAGCAAGAAGCCUCCAGGAGCAGACAGCGCAGCUUCAGUCUGAGCUGUCCCGCCUCCGCCAGGAACUCCAGGAUAAAACCACAAAGGAGGAGCAGCUCCGACAGC
rnacentral:lncRNA from 1 species